rnacentral:lncRNA from 1 species
AACAAUCAUAAUCUUCCAUCCAUAAUCAAUCUUUCAAUAACUUCUCAUAUAAUUCAAUCAUUCAAUACUCCAAUUACAUAAUCAAUAAUUCAUAAAUCAAUCUCUGAUUUAUUCCACAGACUCACUUCUCAGUAUUCAGAAACUAUCCAUUACUCUUCAACAACAAAGAAAACAAAGAAAACAAAGAGGUAGCACCAAGCUUAACCCCAGCUCAUGACUAUCAUAGUCUAGCAUCCCAAAAAACUUCUACAACUCCUAUAUAAUUGCUACUCAUUUCUAGAUCCUAACUGUAAUCUUAUAAUAAACCACUUUUAAUAACUAAAUCAACCACCCAUCCUCUUGAACUGAUUAUUCUAUGGACUAUUAAUCUAUUUUAUCAAUAUCUUACAAAAAUGAACUAAUAUCUAUUCUACAUAGCCCCACUCCUAUCUAAGCAGUGUCCUCGCAAAUACACAAUUGAUUCCUAUCUAAAAACUACUUAACAAAAUUCUACAAAGUUACUAGUUCUUCUGGCCCACCCAAAUAAUCAUUUGCUGCAUUAUCAAAUGUAGGUUCUACCGAUUCUAGUUCUAAAUUCAAAUUUUCCUUGUCUUCUAAUCCGUCCAUCGGCUCCUUUCUCAACUCGCUUGAUAGAUCUUCAUUAUAUUCACCCAAUUCACAGACUUGAGCCUCUAGUUUCAAGAUCUGGGCAU